GAUGAACGCUAGCGGCAGGCCUAAUACAUGCAAGUCGAGGGAGAAGUUUUGUGCUUGCACAGAAUGGGAACCGGCGAACGGGUGCGUAACACGUAUGCAACCUACCUAUAACUGGGGGAUAGCCCGAAGAAAUUCGGAUUAAUACCCUAUAAUAAUUGAGUCUCGCAUGAGAUUUAUUUAAAACUCCGGUGGUUAUAGAUGGGCAUGCGGUCUAUUAGCUAGUUGGUGAGGUAAUGGCUCACCAAGGCGACGAUAGAUAGGGGGUCUGAGAGGAUGAUCCCCCACACUGGUACUGAGACACGGACCAGACUCCUACGGGAGGCAGCAGUAGGGAAUAUUGGACAAUGGACGCAAGUCUGAUCCAGCCAUGCCGCGUGCAGGAAGACUG
rnacentral:rRNA from 1 species